rnacentral:lncRNA from 1 species
CCAAAUCAAAGCACGCGCCCAGCAGGGAAGGGGAGAAGAUUUAGUGCCUCUGAAAAUACACUUUGCCUUUAGGCUUUAUUUCCUAAGACAGAGAUGUGUCACUAACGCAAGGAGAUGAUAGUGGGUUUUAACUUGCUUUUGUUUUUCACUAUUUUGCUUCCCAGGCAGGAGGCCCAAGCCCUGACAACAGAGGUGAGAGAGGCUGUGCCAGCCCUUCUCUGGGCGUGUCUGGGCUCAAGGGCCAGGCUCUGCCUCCAGUCUAGGGCCAAGCUGGGGCCUGUGGCAGGAUCAGAUAGAGGCAAAACAUUGAUGAGGCAGGGGGACGGACAAAAUGGGCCUUCCAGAGGUGCUCUCGGACCCUCCCAGCCACACUACAGCCGCAGAGCCCUCCGCUCACAAACCAUCCUGGCCUCGUCAGAACCUGGGGAGGGUUCCUAGUUGUGCAGGGAAAGUAGUAUGCUCAGAGCCGCAAACAUCUCAUUAAGCAAUUACCACAGGGAGCACCAAGGCAAGGAAGUGAUCUCACUGCCAUCUCGACACCACCCUGCCGCCAGGGUGGGAGUAAUGGGGGUAAUCAUGGCAGCGGUGGCAGUGACAUUGAUGGUGAUGCUGAGUGACGAAAAGGUGAUGGCUCUAUUAGAUCUCGAUGUUGGCGGAGGAAGUGAGGGGGCUGGUAAUGACUUGAGGGUAGUUCAAGUGAUUGCUAAUGGUGGUGGCAGAUCAUAGUCUUGGUGGAGAGGUGACAGUGGUAGUGGUGAUUUGUGGGGCAGACGCUGUGGCUUGGCUCUCUCAAGUCCAUUUUACCCUCCUAGCUGGGGCAGCUGGACAGCAAAGCACUGCCUGUCCCUUCCCUGCGGUGCCUGCGUGGGGGACAGGCUCCACCAAGAGACUCACUGCAGCAGGGUUUGGAAGGCAGAAGUGAGGCUCAAUCCUCUCUGUGCUUCAGUUUCCUCAUUUACAAAAUAGGAAUAGGCCAGGCGCGGUGGCUCUCGCCUGUAAUCCCAGCACUUUGGGAGGCCGAGGCAGGUGGAUCACCUGAGGUCAGGAGUUCGAAACUAGUCUGAGCAACAUGGUGAAACCCCAUCUCUACUAAAAAUACAAAACUUAGCUGGGCGUUGUGGUGGGCACCUGUAAUCCCAGCUACUUGGGAGGCUGAGGCAGGAGAAUUGCUUGAACCCAGGAGGCGGAGAUUGCUGUGAGCUGAUACCACACCACUGCACUCCAGCCUGGGUGACAAGAGUGAAACUGUGUCUCAAAAAAAUAAAAAUAAAAAUAAAUAAAUAAAUAAAAAUAAAAUAGAAAUAAUAAUAGAACAGUGCCUGGCACAUAAUAGGCACUAUGUAAGUGUUGGUUGUUGUUGCUAAAUUGUCAUUUUAUUAAUUUUAAGUUAUUUUGUGCCCCCUUUUGGCUGUUUCUGCCAGCCUGCAAGGUUGCAGGAACACGAGGUUUUUCUACACUGGUGAUCUGGUGUCAGGCUCCAGCCUCGAGCUUGCUCAGAGGUAGUCGCAGGGAUGAAAGCAGAGGUAGCAGCUUCUUAAAUCCAGCUUUCUGAUCCCUGCAUUGAAGCUUCAGUGGUAAGUUCUUGAAUUCAUAGCUCUGGCGUUGACUUUCUCAGUGGGUCGAGUAUGGAAAGGUCUGGAAUCAUUCCUGGAGGCCUGGCUCAUUGAGCCUCUCUGAUGGUUGUGCAAGGACCUACUGCUCUGUAUUAAAUACCUUGCUGCUAAAAACACCAAGAGGGGUUUCUGUUUCCUGCAUUGACCCUGCCCUCACCAGACCCUGCCGCAUUCUCUGCAUCCCCCCUUCUGGGUCCUCAUCUCUGCUGCUCCUUCCUUGGCGUCAUCAUUGCCACCUCCAUGCGUUCUGGAACUCUACCUUCCAGACUCCCCCUCCCUGAGUCCUCUCCUCUCGGUCUCUUCCUCUUCCUCCUUCACGGUGGGGCUCCUCGGGGGGCUGGCCACCGCGGCCUCACAUGUCCCAAACUCAUCGCAUGGUCUUCUCUCCCCG